AUGAGCGCUGGUGUGCCAAACAGGCCAGUUACAUGAACCCUGAGGCCCAGCUGGCAGAGCUGCUGUUCAGCUCUGCACCAGGUAGAGGCACAUACCGGUACAGAGACAUCUCCUCUCUAUCCUGUGGCUCUUUCUGAGGGUUCUAGUCAGGGGGUGAUGAACAAGACCACUGCCUCCCCACCACCCAUCUACACCUCCCACUGCCCACUCCACAUCAAUGAAGGAGACUACAUGACUGCCAUGGAAACUGAAGGUCAUUGAUCCUCACCAGCAGGAAAGGUCCUUUUGCUGCCCAGUCUCUGGAGCUCCCGGAGCCGUACUCCUUCCCUGCCAGGACCAGCAGAGGGACUCCAGACUGCUGGUACCUCUCUG